rnacentral:rRNA from 1 species
GACGAACGCUGGCGGCGUGCCUAAUACAUGCAAGUAGAACGCAGUUGCGAACGGGUGAGUAACGCGUAGGUAACUGCCUCAUAGCGGGGGAUAACCAUUGGAAACGAGAGCUAAUACCGCAAACCGUGGGAUGGACGUGCGUUGCAUUGGUUAGUGGGUGAGGUAAAGGCUCACCAAGGCGGCGAUACAUAGCCGGCAUGAGAGGGGGAUCGGCCCAACUGGGACUGAUACACGGCCCCGACUCCUAAGGGAGGCAGCAGUAGGGAAUCGUGGGAAAUGGACGGAAGUCUGACCGAGCAACUCCGCGGGAGUGAAGAUGGUUUUCGGAUCGUAAAGCUCUGUUGUUAGAGAAGCGGUAACCAACCAGGAAGGGACGGCUAACUACGUGCCAGCAGCCGCGGUAAUUC